rnacentral:misc_RNA from 1 species
AAGUCGUAACAAGGUUUCCGUAGGUGAACCUGCGGAAGGAUCAUUAACACGUAUCCACGUUAAUCACCCGAGAACUUACUUAGGAGUAGCUGAGGAUCAAGUAAAAAGCUUCGGCUCCGGCCCCCUUUUUCCUUUCUUCUCGAUCGGAACGAGUGGGACAUUGACCCUCAGCUUUCCUAUGCUGGUAUUCAUCUCUUCGGAGAUGAACACCAACAACAAGAACCUUGCGCGGAGUCUCUCGGGACUCUUCAAAGGGUUCUUGACGAGUAAACACCUUUUUUUUCUUUGCCUUGUGCAAAGGAAAAGAAAACCCUAAAAGCCGUCUCUUUGUAGACCGCUUUUAACCGAAUACUGUACAACUCUUAGCAACGGAUAUCUUGGUUCUG